CUGGAAUCCUGCAGAGAUGUGGGAGUGCUCGAAAGAGAGCCGGGACACAGGUGCUGCAUGGCCGUCGUCAGCUCGUGUCGUGAGAUGUUGGGUUAAGUCCCGCAACGAGCGCAACCCUUGUCAUUAGUUGCUACGAAAGGGCACUCUAAUGAGACUGCCGGUGACAAACCGGAGGAAGGUGGGGAUGACGUCAGGUCCUCAUGGCCCUUAUGGGUAGGGCUACACACGUCAUACAAUGGCCGGUACAGAGGGCUGCCAACCCGCGAGGGGGAGCCAAUCCCAGAAAACCGGUCGUAGUCCGGAUCGUAGUCUGCAACUCGACUACGUGAAGUCGGAAUCGCUAGUAAUCGCGGAUCAGAAUGUCGCGGUGAAUACGUUCCCGGGUCUUGUACACACCGC
rnacentral:rRNA from 1 species